rnacentral:rRNA from 1 species
GACGAACGCUGGCGGCGUGCUUAACACAUGCAAGUCGAACGGUAAGGCCCUUCGGGGUACACGAGUGGCGAACGGGUGAGUAACACGUGGGUGAUCUGCCCUGCACUUCGGGAUAAGCCUGGGAAACUGGGUCUAAUACCGGAUAUGACCUCCUUGGGCAUCCUUGGAGGUGGAAAGUUUUUCGGUGAGGGAUGGGCCCGCGGCCUAUCAGCUUGUUGGUGAGGUAGUGGCUCACCAAGGCGACGACGGGUAGCCGGCCUGAGAGGGUGACCGGCCACACUGGGACUGAGAUACUGCCCAGACUCCUACGGGAGGCAGCAGUGGGGAAUAUUGCACAAUGGGCGCAAGCCUGAUGCAGCGACGCCGCGUGAGGGAUGACGGCCUUCGGGUUGUAAACCUCUUUCAGCACCGACGAAGCGCAAGUGACGGUAGGUGCAGAAGAAGGACCGGCCAACUACGUGCCAGCAGCCGCCGUAA